rnacentral:tRNA from 1 species
UCCAUGCGGUGGAGGGGAAUCGAAGUGCGCUCGAGUUGUACCGGCGACUCGGGUUCGAGACCCGCGCAUCGGUC